AAAUUUGAAAAAAUAAUAAAUUUAAUUAAAAAAUAUUAUUUAGAAAUUCCACAAAUGCUUAAGGCAAAAAUUCUAUAAUAAUUCUUGAAACUCAAUACGCUCAAGCGGGUGCUCACUGUAUAUAAAAGUGUAUAAAAAACCGUCAACAAUUUGCUUAGCUGUGCUUAAAAAAUUGAAUUUAAAGCUGCAUCCUGUUUGCGUUCCUUUUGUUGCCGUUGUCAGGGUUGUCACGUUGCGCGCUCCCGGGGCUGUGGCUUGUCUAUAUAGCAGAGUGGGGGAUGGGAUGGGGUGGGGCAGAAUGGCGGCUAAUGAAAUCAGUUUUCAAUUGUUGGGGCUUAAUUCGAUUUGCCGUUGCUUUUAAGUGCCGCAUUUUGUUGCUCUUCACUGUAUGAGUGUAUGACUGUAUGUAUAGUGAGUGUGUGUGUGUGUGUGUGACAUAAAUUUGGUACACACUCGAGUUAAUUGAUUAGUUGGUCUGUCGUCAGCAGCCUGAGAGGAAGGCGGGGUUCGCCUUUCGGAGCUAUUAUAUCAGCUCUAUCUACAGCAAUUGCACUCGCCAAGCACUUUGAAACGCCCACAAUCUCGAAACUAGUGCAAAAUAUAAAAGUUAAAUAAAUCAGCUUAUCUUUAUGGGGCACUAUUAACAUGGAACACCUCUCUCAUCAUAUAACUUCUCAAAGAUAGCCAGAGCUAAGAAAAAUUCCCAAUUAGUGUGACAAACUAAGCAAUUGAACUAGAAAUGACUUUGAAUGAAGAAAGAGUGAAAGAAACGUAGACUUGGUUUGCUUAUGAAAUGAUAGAUAUGCAAUAAAACAAUAGAUAUAUGUAUCUUAUAUAGAUAAGUUUUAUCUAUAUCAUAGAGAGAUCAGUUUGCUAGAGUUUUGAUAAAAGCGAUGUUAGCUAUCCCUAUAAGAAAGUAUAAAAGGAAAGUUGAUAAGAAAAUGAGAGACAAUUCUACAGAAAGAUAUAGAUACAUCUUAUAUGUAUAUGUAAAAGAAAAAGCCUUUCUGAACAAACUUUCAUAACAAAUUAUAAGAAAAUGCAAAACAAAUGAGAUGAAUAGAAACCACUGGAAUAAACGUUUGGAGCAGACUUUGACUAGCAAUAUCAUAUAUAGAUUUAUAUAUACAUAAGAAAAUAUAAAUAUAUAUUUAUAUUUAUAUACCCAGAAUAUCUAAAGUUAAUCAAUUUUUUAAGAUCUUAGAUACUAUCAACAGUAUAAUGCUUACAGUAGAGCGUAACUAAAGCCUGCUAGACUAUCUAUUUGCAAUUUCACUUAGCGAGUAUGCACUGUAUACGUAUAGUUCGCAAGAUAAUCUACCUUUUAGCAAGUUUUUUAUUCUAGCUAAUAGCUAGAACUCGACAGAUAACGUCUGUUAUAUGAAGUGCCGAAAGUUUCUGUUCACUUCGAGAUAAGCUGUAUAUGAACUAGCUCAAGUCUUAUGUAAAAUAUUUAUAAGCAUCCAGAUACUCUAGCUAAUCGAGCAGCUCUAUAAUAUAUGAGAUCUUAGUCAUAUUUGUGUGAAUGAAUGUAACAUAAAUUGUUUUCAAUUUACCAUCAUUAGGUGUGCAGCUUUGCGAAUUAGUCAUUGAAGUCAGAGUGUGAGAGAGAGAGAGAGUGGGAAAUGCAAUUAGUCACUAGAGCCAGAGAGAGAGGGAGAAUCAAUGCAGUGCUGACUAAUAAAAUUCGAGGCGAAUGAGCAAAACAAA